rnacentral:rRNA from 1 species
AUGAAGAGUUUGAUCCUGGCUCAGGAUGAACGCUAGCGGCAGGCUUAAUACAUGCAAGUCGAGGGGUAAGGCUCAUUUCGGUGAGUACACGACCGGCGCACGGGUGCGUAACGCGUAUGCAACCUACCCUUAACAGGGGGAUAGCCCGAAGAAAUUCGGAUUAAUACCCCAUAACAUUAUCAACUGGCAUCAGUGGAUGAUUAAAACCCCGGUGGUUAAGGAUGGGCAUGCGUGACAUUAGCUGGUUGGUGGGGUAACGGCCCACCAAGGCGACGAUGUCUAGGGGUUCUGAGAGGAUGAUCCCCCACACUGGUACUGAGACACGGACCAGACUCCUACGGGAGGCAGCAGUAAGGAAUAUUGCGCAAUGGAGGAAACUCUGACGCAGCCAUGCCGCGUGCAGGAAGACGGCCUUAUGGGUUGUAAACUGCUUUUAUAAAGGAAUAAUACCCCGUUCGUGAACGGGGUUGAAGGUACUUUAUGAAUAAGCACCGGCUAACUCCGUGCCAGCAGCCGCGGUAAUACGGAGGGUGCAAGCGUUAUCCGGAUUUAUUGGGUUUAAAGGGUGCGCAGGCGGAUUGGUCAGUCAGUGGUGAAAUCCCGGGGCUCAACCUCGGAACUGCCAUUGAUACUGCCAGUCUUGAAUACGGUUGAAGUAGGCGGAAUGUAGCAUGUAGCGGUGAAAUGCAUAGAUAUGCUACAGAACACCGAUCGCGAAGGCAGCUUACUAAGCCGAUAUUGACGCUCAGGCACGAAAGCGUGGGUAGCGAACAGGAUUAGAUACCCUGGUAGUCCACGCCGUAAACGAUGAUCACUCGUUGUUGGCGACACACAGUCAGCGACCAAGCGAAAGCGAUAAGUGAUCCACCUGGGGAGUACGGCCGCAAGGUUGAAACUCAAAGGAAUUGACGGGGGCCCGCACAAGCGGUGGAGCAUGUGGUUUAAUUCGAUGAUACGCGAGGAACCUUACCUGGGCUCAAAUGCAGGGUGACGUACCGGGAAACCGGUAUUUCUUCGGACAGCCUGCAAGGUGCUGCAUGGUUGUCGUCAGCUCGUGCCGUGAGGUGUCGGGUUAAGUCCCAUAACGAGCGCAACCCCUAUCCUUAGUUGCCAUCAGGUAAAGCUGGGGACUCUGAGGAAACUGCCUACGCAAGUAGAGAGGAAGGUGGGGAUGACGUCAAAUCAGCACGGCCCUUACGUCCAGGGCUACACACGUGCUACAAUGGCCGGUACAGAGGGCAGCCACCACGCGAGUGGGAGCGAAUCUCGAAAGCCGGUCUCAGUUCGGAUCGAAGUCUGCAACCCGACUUCGUGAAGCUGGAAUCGCUAGUAAUCGCGCAUCAGCCAUGGCGCGGUGAAUACGUUCCCGGGCCUUGUACACACCGCCCGUCAAGCCAUGGAAGCUGGGGGUACCUGAAGUCGGUAACCGUCAAGGAGCUGCCUAGGGUAAAAUCAGUGACUGGGGCUAAGUCGUAACAAGGUAGCCGUACCGGAAGGUGCGGCUGGAAUACCUCCUU